GACGAACGCUGGCGGCGUGCUUAACACAUGCAAGUCGAGCGGUAAGGCCCUUUCGGGGGUACACGAGCGGCGAACGGGUGAGUAACACGUGGGUGACCUGCCUUUAGCUCUGGGAUAAGCCUGGGAAACUGGGUCUAAUACCGGAUAUGACUCCGCGGUGCAUGCUGUGGGGUGGAAAGCCUUGUGCGGCUGGAGAUGGGCCCGCGGCCUAUCAGCUUGUUGGUGGGGUNAUGGCCUACCAAGGCGACGACGGGUAGCCGGCCUGAGAGGGCGACCGGCCACACUGGGACUGAGACACGGCCCAGACUCCUACGGGAGGCAGCAGUGGGGAAUCUUGCGCAAUGGGCGAAAGCCUGACGCAGCGACGCCGCGUGAGGG
rnacentral:rRNA from 1 species